ACCCUACCUUUCCUUACCUUCCCAUACCACAUUACCUUACUUUACCUUCCCAUACCACCUUACUUUACCUAACCGUACCUUUCCUCACCUUCCCAUAUGGUACUGUACCUUACCAUACUUUACCUUCCCUUGCCUCCCUUCCCUUACAUUACCUUACGACACCUUACCUUGCCUUACUUCACUUAACUUACCGCACUUUAUUUUACCUCGUCUUACCUUACCUUACCUUGCUUCUUAUUUUUUCUUACUUUACCUUACCAUUCCUUACUUUCCCAUACCUUACCUCACCUUACCUAACCUUACCUUGCCUUACCAUACCUUACCUUACCGUGCCUGGCUUCCUGUUACAUUAGUUUUGCUUGGAUUCAUGUUCUAAUUGUUGCUUCCGAUUUUUGUAAGCUACCAAGGUGAAUGUAAUCGAAUCCAGAUGUCAUUGUGUAAUACAUAAAGUAGAUUUUGAUGAAGUUUAAGACCGGGAAAGUGGUAAGAGACAGUUUUAAGUGCAGACUCUUACCACUGCUAUCAACUAAUUGUAACUAAUGGGAAACUAAUGGAAGCUUAAGUAGUCCUAAUUUUAAUGGGUUAAGAGAUACGACCAUUUUGAGGCUGGUAAAAUAAUGGAAGAGGCACUGAACACAGACCCUUGCCUAACUGAUGGAAAACUAAUGGAAGCUUAAGUAGUCAUAAUUUUAAUGGGUUUCAAGAGAUAUGACCAUUUUGAGAUUAGCUAAUGGAAGAGACACGUUGUAUGAGCACCGACUCCUGCCUUUUGGAAAUCCCUAAUGGUCCAGACACCCAUUUCGAGCACUGACUUUCUUGCCCAGCUACAGCGUUUACCCCCCCUUUGACUCCCUUGCCCCUUCACCCUCACUCACUAAUGGACGACAAGCACUAAUGGAAGAAGCCCAAAUGGUAAGCCCUCCAAGUGGUCAACACACGCCUACCUCUCCCAACCACCCCCCUUCCCCGCCCCAUCCACACACACACUGCUUUGUCGCCUCAACCUUAGAAUGCUGCAAUGUUCGAUGUAUUUUUGUGCUUUAGAAAACUACUGGCAUGUGCUGGAUGACUGUUAUAAGCUGUCAGGUGUUGCUGCUGCCCCCACGCCCACCCACGCCCGCCCACGCCCUCUGCCAAAGCCUGCGGGAAUCAUGGCGCAAGAACAGGGUGGGAGAGAUCUCUAUGGGGUUACCUCGCCCUGCCUCGCCCUUCCCUGCCACUCCACCCUUCUCCUACGGCCCCCAUACCCCUAGGAAGUGACCACAGCCUAUGGGAAGCCGGGUUUAUAUGGGGGAAUCCCUGCCACGCCCACGGCUGAGGAGAUGUCAAGAUAUCCCCCCAAGGAACGGAGCUACAGCGGCUUAUGUUAGACUCUCAUCUCGGCGCCAAGAGGAUGUUGGAGGAUGCUGAGAUGGCGGGCGAGAACAGAAAGAGAGGAAGAGACGAUUGCGAACGAAACAGCUGUCACAACCAUCUUUCUGUGUCACCAACAGCAACAACAACGUCACCACCACAACCACCACCACCACCACCAACAACAACAACAACAACAACAACAACAACAAUGUCACCAACAACAACAACAAUAACAACGUCACCACCAAUAACAACACGAAGAUGAAAGAAAACACCAAAUAUUAAAGAAAAAUUAUUAGUUAGUGGUGUCUUCACUGAAUCAGCAAGAUGGAUGAAGAACGCUCAGGGCAGUUUCACGGUGGAUGCAAUGCUAAGUACACCGCAGACAUCCAUCCAUGAGGCUCAAGUAACCAUUCACACUUACAGCGAUGUUUACAAAUUUGCCUUUUCACUUUGACCCUUAUUGCCAGGUAGUCUACACACCCACAUAGAUGAAGACCUGAUCCUUGAGGAGGCUUUUGAUGAGGUACAGUCACUUCUUUCUCCUCAACUGACCUCCCAAGAACUCUGACACCCAUAUCACAAGCUCCUCAACUGACCUCCCAAGAACUCUGACACCCAUAUCACAAGCUCCUCAACUGAGCUCCCAAGAACUCUGACACCCAUAUCACAAGCUCUCCCUCCCAGGCCAUUCCUUUGAGAUCAAAAACACUAUCAGUCAGCCAGAUCCCAUUCCCUUCAAGCUCUCUGUGAACCACUCUUACGGGCUAAUGACUACAUCCCUCACAUUAACCUCCUGUUAGUAAUAGUAUGGCAUGUAUCUUCCUCCUUCUUCUCUUUACUGUUUGUUAUGGUUUUAAAGUAUAGUUUAUUUAAUCUUUUAUUCAGCACCACAUGACCCUGCAGUUGCGGUGCCAAAACCAAACGCCCCAAUAAUCAUCAUCCUCCUCCUUUUCUCUCCUUUUUUUCUCUUUACAUCCAAAAUUUCUGUACUCUUCUUUUUGCAAUGCCAUUUUCAUCAGGUAUACAGCAUUGCAACUGGCAUAAACAGUCACUAAAAAUUCCGCAUAUUACUCUUCAUCUGUAGCAUUCUUACCACUGCAUCUAGUGUGAAAUGGGCCACACUCUGUCGCUUGAUUUUUUUAACGUCAUUUGAGUAUUUAUUAAUAGUCACGUGGCUAGUUUGGCUUGGCCCUUUUUCAUUCCAUUUUUGGGACGGAAUAAGCUAGAAGUGGUGGAUUUUCAGUGUUAAGUAAUGUUUCAAACUCACGUCAUAAAAAGUGAUAUAAAAAAAUCAACUAAACCAAUUAACCAAGCCUUGAAAAACGGUUCAGAAAAGACAAAUCAGCCACAGUAGCAUUAAUGGAGACUAAUACGACAUUUAAUAUAUCAGGCGUCUGUCUCUGGGUCUGGUGAUGCAGGCGGUCAGAACUACACCAGGGAAGCACGAGACAAGGAACAUAGAAACAAGCACCACCAUGAACGACCACCUGCAGUAGUAAGGAAUGGACCAGCCAGCAGUCCCCCCUCAAGACAGCAAGUCCACAUACCCGCCCAGGACUCGAUAAUGAGGUAACACAUGGUAAAGGUAGUGACGGGUGGUAGUAUUCCGAGUGGUAAUGGUAAGUGUGUAGAACUUGUAAUAGUGAAUGUGAAAGGUAUUAAAAAGUUGAUAGUGAAGUAAAGGUAUUGAAAGGGAUGGUGGUAGUAGUCAGGGUAGGAAAGGUAAGUGUAUGGUACUUAAAGCAGGGAAUGUAGAGGGUAUUAACAAAUCAGUAAUGAGGUAGUACAUGGUAAAGGCAGUGAAAGGGGUUGUGGUAGUAUUGAGGGUAGUGAAGGUAUAUGUACAGUGUAUGGGUAUAGUGUAUGGGGGAUGUAGAGGGUAAUAGCCAAUCAACGCACACCACUCCCAUCAGUACCCACAUCGGCAAUAUGAGAGGUGUCCAUUUUUUUCUAGUUUCCGCUAAGACAGGUAGCCAACGCAUCCCAGGAAAAACAAGAUCGAAGUUGAAAGGGAAAAGCGACCCACGGUACUCCACAUACAAGGUCACUUUUCCCUCGCAGCUUGUUUCUUGUUCUUCCUGCGCUGUGUUGCCUGUCCUUCCUCCUGCAAACUGGAACAAAAUGGCUUUAUCCCUUACGCCUUUUCUCCUUUGGACACCUCAUAAGAUACUCAAGAAAGUGACCCAAGUAUUGAAACAAAGUGGUCAAAAUUAAGAAUGAUGUAUCAGUCUUUACCUUUGCUAGAGUUAAUUUUUGAGUCUCCGUGUUUCAAGAGUAGGUUAUCUCCUUGAUGUGAGAACUAUGUAGUCCAUUUCAGCGACUGAAUAGAGAAGAUGAAAUGGUUAUAUACAAAACAGACUAAGAAAGGAGGAAUUGAACAGAAACUGAUUGAUGGCAAGGAGUGAAGACGGUUAGCAAGGAACAGUGACUUAAAUAAAAAUGGGAUUGAGCUAGUGAGAUGAAGAGUGAGAAGAGUCUAAUCUGUGACAGAAGUGAUUCAAAAGACUAAAUGUUAGAUAGCAAGUAGUGGAAACAGUUAGCAAGGUACAGCAGCCAGAUAUAAAAACAGGAUAAAGUUAGUGAGAUGAUAAGAAAAGUUUACAUACCAAACAAUCUAAGCGAGAAAGAAGUGGAGACAAAAUAUUUGACCGCAAGGAGAGGAGACAGUUAGGAAGGAACAGCAACCACAUAUAUAUACAGGAUUAAAUGAGUGAGAUGGAAAGAAAGUAGAGUCUGCACAUCAAACAAUAUAAGAGAGACGGGAUUGAAAAGAGACUAUAUAUUUGGCUAACUGAUUGCAAGAAAUGGAGAUGGUUUGGGAGGAUUAAGCUAGUGAAAGUAAUUAACCUGGUAGCAGCGACGGGCCAAAUGUGUGGCUUUACCGUGUAGCACUGACGGGCCAAAUUUGUGGCUUUACCGUGUAGCAGCGACGGGCCAAAUUUGUGGCUUUACCAUGUAGCAGCGACGGGCCAAAUUUGUGGCUUUACCAUGUAGCAGCGACGGGCCAAAUUUGUAGCUUUACCGUGUAGCAGCGACGGGCCAAAUUUGUGGCUUUACCGUGUAGCAGCGACGGGCCAAAUUUGUGCCAUGAUUUAAACCCCCCAAAAUAGAUGAUACAUAAACUGAUCACAAAUGCUUCGAUAUAUAUCAUGAAAUGGUUUGUGUGAGUGAUUUUUCCUCAUUUUUCUCGCUUAAAGGGACCAUUAAGAAACAUGAUCCCCGCUGCUACUGGGUUAAAGGAAGCCAUAAUGAGCAGGUUACAGGUAUAGGAGCAGCCCUGUAGCCAUAAGGUAAGCACUGUAUUUUGAGACCUGGAGAGUAGUCGGCAAAAAAGAGCCGAACUCCCAUGGGUCGGCUUAAUAGAAUUUGACCAAAAUCUAGACAUGGUGUUGCAUUGGUUAAGUGGGUACCAGCGCCUAGUCUAUCAUUGCAACCCACUUAACCGACACAACACCAUGUCCAUAGAUUUCCCUCAAUUUACAUUCAAUCAACUCACGGGUGUUCGAUAACUUUUUUGGCUGACUGUACUGUAAUAGGAAUGGUGCAUGUAUAUUGGCCACAUACCUUUGUAGUUGUAGAUGAGAGUAAUAAAAGGAAGAAGCCUCCAAUAAUCUUUUAAAUCCCUCUAAUGUAUCAGUAUUCCUAUCCUUAGCUAACUUGUAAUUAUAUGACCAAUAAAACUGACAUAUCAAAAGUUUAUUCCUUACAUUCAAACCACAGUGCUACUUAAGGAUUCUGUCUAAUGGUAAAUCUUAAGUUUAUAAUAUUCUGUGACUUUGGGGUCAAGAAUGUCUCCAUGCUCUGAUGUGUGCUUAAAGUGGAGACUAGAAGGGAGCUACUGAGAUGUAUAAGAGAAUGCUCAUCAGGUAAAUCAUAA